GACGAACGCUGGCGGCGUGCUUAACACAUGCAAGUCGAACGGUGAUGCUCCAGCUUGCUGGAGUGGAUCAGUGGCGAACGGGUGAGUAACACGUGAGCAACCUGCCCCUGACUCUGGAAUAAGCGCUGGAAACGGCGUCUAAUACUGGAUACGAAACUGGCCCGCAUGGGCAUGGUUUGGAAAGUUUUUCGGUUUGGGAUGGGCUCGCGGCCUAUCAGCUUGUUGGUGAGGUAAUGGCUCACCAAGGCGACGACGGGUAGCCGGCCUGAGAGGGCGACCGGCCACACUGGGACUGAGACACGGCCCAGACUCCUACGGGAGGCAGCAGUGGGGAAUAUUGCACAAUGGGCGGAAGCCUGAUGCAGCGACGCCGCGUGAGGGAUGACGGCCUUCGGGUUGUAAACCUCUUUCAGCAGGGAAGAAGCGAAAGUGACGGUACCUGCAGAAGAAGCACCGGCUAACUACGUG
rnacentral:rRNA from 1 species